UAACAGAGGUUUGAUUCUGGCUCAGAUUGGACGCUGGUGGGAUGCUUUACACAUGCAAGUCGAACGGCAGCACGGACUUCGGUCUGGUGGCGAGUGGCGAGCAAUUGAGUAAUGUAUCGGAACGUGCCUAGUAGCGAGGGAUAACUACGCGAAAGCGUAGCUAAUACAUACGCCCUUCGGGGAAAGCGGGGGACCUUCGGGCCUCGCACUAUUAAACGGCCGAUAUCGGUUGGCUAGUUGGUGGGGUAACGGCUCGCAAGGCGACGAUCCGUAGCUGGUUUGAGAGGACGACCAGCCACACUGGGACUGGAGACACGGCCCAGACUCUGCAGGAGGCAGCAGUGGGGAAUUUUGGACAAUGGGGGAAGCCACAGUCAGCCAUCCCGCGUGCGAUGAAGGCCUUCGGGUUGUAAAGCACUUUUGGCAGGAAAGAAACGGCACGGGAUAAUACACCCCGUGCAACUGACGGUACCUGCAGAAUAAGCGCCGGCCUUCGCGUGUAAUACUGAUAAUACGUAAGUGCUGUGAUUAAUCGAAUUACUGGGCGCGUAAAGCGUGCGCAGGCGGUUCGGAAAGAAGAUGUGAAAUCCCAGAGCUUAACUUUGGGAACUGCAUUUUAACUACCGAAACUGGGUGUAACCAAGAGGGAGGUGGAAUUCCGCGUGUAGCAGUGAAAUGUCGUAGAUAUGCCGAACACCGUGGCGAAGGCAGCCUCCUGGGAUAACACUGACGCUCAUGCACGAAAGCGUGGGGAGCAAACAGGAUUAGAUACCCUGGUAGUCCACGCCCUAAACGAUGUCAACUAGCUGUUGGGGCCUUUAGGAGCGCUUGGUAGCGCAAUAACGCGUGAGGUUGACCGCCUGGGAAGUACGGUCGCAAGAUUAAACUCAAAGGAGGAAUUGACGGGGACCCGCACAAGCAGUGGAUGAUGUGGAUUAAUUCGAUGCAACGCGAAAAACCUUACCUACCCUUGACAUGUCUAGGUCGAAGAUUUGGGAGUGCUCGCAAGAGAACCGGGCCCACAGGUGCUGCAUGGCUGUCGUCAGCUCGUGUCGUGAGAUGUUGGGUUAAGUCCCGCAACGAGCACAACCUUGUCAUUAGUUGCUACGAGGCACUCUAAUGAGACUGCCGGUGACAAACCGGAGGAAGGUGGGGAUGACGUCAGGGUCCUCGCGGCCCUUAUGGGUAGGGCUUCACACGUCAUACAAUGGUCGGGACAGAGGUCGCCAACCCGCGAGGGAGCCAAUCCCAGAAACCCGAUCGUAGUCCGGAUCGCAGUCUGCAACUCGACUGCGUGAAGUCGAGAAUCGCUAGUAAUCGCGGAUCAGCAUGUCGCGGUGAAUACGUUCCCGGGUCUUGUACACACCGCCCGUCACACCAUGGGAGUGGGUUUUGCAGAAGUAGUUAGCCUAACCGUAAGGAGGGCGAUUACCACGGUAAGUUCAUGAGCUGGGGUGAAGUCGUAACAAGGUAA
rnacentral:rRNA from 1 species